AGAGUUUGAUCCUGGCUCAGAGCGAACGCUGGCGGCAGGCCUAAAACAUGCAAGUCGAACGGACCCUUCGGGGUUAGUGGCGGACGGGUGAGUAACACGUGGGAACGUGCCUUUUGGUUCAGAACAACUCAGGGAAACUUGAGCUAAUACUGAAUAAGCCCUACGGGGGAAAGAUUUAUCGCCAUUAGAGCGGCCCGCGUUGGAUUAGCUAGUUGGUGAGGUAAAGGCUCACCAAGGCUACGAUCCAUAGCUGGUCUGAGAGGAUGAUCAGCCACACUGGGACUGAGACACGGCCCAGACUCCUACGGGAGGCAGCAGUUAGGAAUCUUGCGCAAUGGGCGAAAGCCUGACGCAGCCAUGCCGCGUGAAUGAUGAAGGUCUUAGGAUUGUAAA
rnacentral:rRNA from 1 species